ACAUGGUUCUCUCUACUCACAGAAACUGUGAUUAAACAUGAAAUUCUUGCUGAAAAAUGAUACCAAGAUACAAUGUGCACUUCCUUUCCAGUGGGAAAAAAAUUGGAGGCAUCACUUUUGGAGCCGUCCAUGUGUACCUCAUCUGUUCAUUGAUCAUCCUUGCAAAAUUCUAUUUCUUGUCAGCUGUGUAUAUGAAAGUUCUCAGUUUUGCACAUGACAGACCACCACCAUAUAUCUUUCUCCUCAUCAAUACAAACAGUUGGAAGAGUUAAAGGUCUACAGAUUCAGUCCUGCGUUCGUAUGUGGAAUUCUACACAGCAAAAGGCACAAAUCAUCUUGACAUCUGAAAACAGCUGCC